UUGGUGGGACUUUACCAGACGAAAUUGGAAAUUGCUCUGAUUUGCAGAUGUUGAACUUAAGUAACAACACCCUUCAAGGUAAUUUGCCUAAUUCUUUAUCUUCUCUUACUAGACUUCAAGUAUUGGAUGUUUCUAUGAAUCAAUUUGUGGGUGAAAUUCCAACUAGUUUUAAUAAACUUAUUUCACUUAAUAGACUGAUUCUAAGUAAGAACUUUUUCUCUGGGGGAAUUCCUUCCUCACUUAGUCAAUGUUCAAGUCUUCAGCUUCUUGAUCUCAGUAGCAAUGAACUAUCUGGCAAGAUCCCAGUUGAACUGUUUGAUAUUGAUGGUCUUGAUAUUGCUUUGAAUUUGAGUUGGAAUGCGCUUACUGGGGUAAUCCCACCACAGAUUUCUGCUCUAAACAAAUUAUCUAUUCUUGACCUAUCACACAAUAAGCUAGGAGGAGACUUGGUAUCACUGGCUGGUCUUGAAAAUCUUGUUUCUUUAAACAUUUCCUACAACAAUUUCUCUGGCUAUCUUCCGGACAAUAAGCUGUUUAGACAGUUAUCUGCGACAGACUUGGCAGGAAAUCAGGGAUUGUGUUCUAAAGGCCGUGAGUCAUGUUUCUUAAGCAAUGCAACAAUGAUGAGCAUGGCUAAUAAUGGUCACUUGAAAAGAUCACAGAGACUUAAACUAGCCAUUGCAUUGCUCGUCGCCUUGACUAUAGCAUUGGCAAUUUUUGGGGCGAUUAUUUUUUUUAGAGCUCGAAAAUUGAUAGGAGAUGAUUGUGAAUCUGAGUUGGGAGGAGAUUCAUGGCCUUGGCAUUUCAAUCCAUUUCAGAAGCUAAAUUUUUCAGUAGAACAAGUCCUAAAAUGCCUAGUGGAAGACAAUGUAAUAGGAAAAGGAUGUUCAGGAAUUGUGUAUCGUGCAGAACUUGAAAAUGGGGAAGUCAUUGCUGUUAAAAAGCUUUGGCCAGCAACAAUUGCUGCAGGACAUGAUUGUCAAAAUGAUAGGUUAGGAAUUGGAGGAGUUCGCGAUUCCUUUUCAGCUGAGGUAAAAACUCUUGGUUCCAUUCGCCAUAAGAACAUUGUUAGAUUCUUGGGAUGCUGUUGGAAUCGAAACACGAGAUUGCUUAUGUAUGACUAUAUGCCUAAUGGGAGCUUAGGCAGUCUUCUUCAUGAAAGAAGUGGUGGUUGCUUGGAAUGGGAAGUGAGGUACCGGAUAGUCUUGGAAGCAGCACAAGGUCUUGCUUACUUGCAUCAUGACUGUGUUCCUCCAAUUGUUCACAGAGACAUUAAGGCUAACAACAUUCUCAUUGGCCCAGAAUUUGAACCAUAUAUUGCUGAUUUCGGACUUGCCAAGCUUGUCGAUGAUGGUGAUUUUGCUCGCUCUUCAGCUACUGUUGCUGGCUCCUAUGGUUACAUUGCUCCAGGUGAGUUCAAAAUCCAUACCAGCAUUGUCCUGAUGAGGCUAAAAUUUUCAAAUUGCAUAUUGAUAGCAUUGUCCUGAUUUGACUUUAGAAAAUUUUCACAAUGAUGAGACUCAUUUAUUUGGUUUGCAGAGUACGGAUAUAUGAUGAAGAUAACCGAAAAAAGCGAUGUGUAUAGCUAUGGUGUGGUGGUGCUAGAAGUACUAACUGGGAAGCAACCAAUUGAUCCAACAAUACCAGAAGGGCUUCACAUUGUAGAUUGGGUGAGGCAGAAGAGAGGAGGGAUUGCAGUGCUCGAUCCUAGCUUACGAGCUCGGCCCGAAUCAGAGAUUGAAGAGAUGUUGCAGACCAUAGGAGUAGCUUUGCUAUGUGUAAAUCCAAGUCCUGAUGAUAGGCCUAACAUGAAGGAUGUAUCAGCAAUGCUCAAGGAAAUAAGGCAGGAGAUUAGAGAUCACGAGUGCUUGAAAGUGGACAUGCUUAUAAAUGGAUCUUCAGGAAAUACUCAACAGGAGAAUAGCAAUAACUCUCCAUCAUCAGCGCUGAUGCAAGAACAAUCAUAUCCUGAAAGCAACAGUACAAGCCUUUCUGCUUCUUCAUUUUUACAUUCUUCUUCAUCCAUGGCUAAAACUACAUUCAAAUAAAUUUCUUAAAUAUUUUUUUAUCCUUGCAGCAUCAUGUAUCACUAUUAUUUUAGAUAAACUGGAUGUUAGCUAGUCCAGUGUCAGAACUUUCUUGUGUAAAAUAGAAAAGCAGGCAAUUAAAAAUCUUUAUAUAUAAAGAUGGGCAAGUGCGGAGGUAGGACUUUCACCCAACGACAAAGCAAAACCAUACAGAUUGGCCUCAAAGCGGACACAGCUUCCCAAGGAAUUGAAAAAAAUUCUUAUUAAAAAUUACAUUUUAAUCCUUCAAAAUAUAAAGAAAAUUAUAUUUGACUUCUUAAAGAAAUAAAAAAAAAAAAAAAAAACGUAGAAAACUAGGAUGAUGAUGAUCCACUACAAAGUUCUGGGCAAUUACAGACGGAUUUCUGCGAUGACGAUGAUGUAUUGAUGUAUAGAUAUGAAACCAAAAACAUUAAGUUUCUUAGCUGAAAAAAGAAAAGAAAUGGAGUGGUAAUCCUUAAUACAAGGUUGUCUUCAUUUCAUACACAAUGAUGCUUUGUUUGCGUUAGAGGUUGUACUUUUCCUAUGUCUAAUAUUUUGCAAGUUGUAACUGCACUUCACUAAACGACAACAAGUCUAAAUUCGCAUUAUUUCAACGUCGUACGCAAGUGCAAAUCAAAUUAAAUUCUAGCAAUUCUUUCGUCAUAAUUUUUUUUGGCUGCUAUUAUUUUUUGUUCUUCAUUGUUAACAACAAAAUUAGAAGAAAAUAUCAAAACCAAAAUUAAUUAAUUAAUUAAUUAAUUAUGGUGUCAUACAAUCAAGCAAAACACCCAUAAGGGGACCAUGAUUAAUCUAAAAAUUUUCUAAUUUCAUGGAGUACUACUUGUUUUUUCUUUUUCUUUUUAUUUUUUAUAGUGUGGAAAAUGAUUUUAAAAGAGGGUUUUGCGUUUUUUUUUUUUUUUUUUGGAAGGCAAAGAAUUAAUAGAAAGAAUAUUAGAAAUAAAAUUAAAAAGGAUGAGACUCUACUUCUAGAAAUUAUACGUGGAAUAAGCAUACGUUACAAGCAGAUGCACAACACUAUUCGCUUACCUUUUAACCAAAAAAAAAAAAGACAUUUAAUACAUAAGAUUUUGAUGUUUGGUUAAUACAUGAAUGUUACAUUCUUGAAAUAGCUAGGUUCUUAAAACUACAUUUUUCGGUCUAAAAAGAUGGAAAUUUACAUUAUAUAAAUAAAAAAUUAAGAACACUAUUAUUUGUUAAUUUUGAAUAAUAUGUGCAUCAAAUUAAUUUGUCAAUAAAAAAAAUUUAAUUGAAUCAAUUUUACAUCUGUAGAUAAUACUUCUAGAAUAUCAGUAAAAAAAUAUGUAUAAAUUAAAAAUACUAUUAUAAUUUACAUUUUUUAUAAAUUCAUCCAUCUCUUAAUUAUCUUACACUUCAAAAAGAAAAUAUUUAUAACUCAACAUAAUUUUUUUUUUUUUUUAAAAAAAAAACUUUCUCAAGACAUCUCCCAGGAGAGGGAAAGUUAAAUUUUUAUUUAUGGUUCUAACUUAUAAUUACAAAAAGAGAAAAUAUCAUAUAUGUAAAUUUGAUUAAAACCCAUUAUCUAAAUUGCUAAAACAUUUAAACAAUUCAAUUUAAAAUCAUAUUAUACAGAAAACAUUUCAAAUAUUCUUUCCAAUCAACAAAAUUCAAGAUUUCAAAAUAGUAAUAACUAUCAAUAAGGGUUUUGUAUCAUAAAAUUUAUCCACAUUACACAUAAAAUGAAAUAUAUAUAUAUAUAUAUAUAUAUAUAUAGAGUCAUAUACUCUUGCAAAGCAGUAACGUAGUAUCAACAGUUAACUGGCACAAGUACAAAACAUUGUAUAGUAAUACUAGUAUAAUGUAAGGGGCAACCCCAAAACUAAAACUCAAAUUAAUGAUACAAACAUCCAUUUAAUUAUAUAUUUAUUAUUAUUAUUAUUAUUAUUAUUAUUAUUAUUAUUAUUAACUAAUUAACCGUCUCCUUAAUACUCUCUCUUGGCUGUUGUCAUGAUUUUGACUCAGAAAUCAGAGACUGUUGAUUGGAUUGUGCAGAGAAUCUAGGGUUUUCCAUACCAACUUACUCUUAUCACAACAUCUUGACCAUCCACUUGUCCAUCCAUUUUCAUGCAUGAAGGAGAGAGAAAGUGUCUUCUUUUUCUACUACCAUUCACUUUACCGUUUGGGUUUGAUUUGUAUUAGAAGAGGAUCCAUUAACAGUUGCAGGAGUGCUUGCAUGUGAGUUUUUUGGUGAUUUUCUUGCUUUCUUAUUCUCUGGUUUCGCUCCCGGUUGUCUCACCUUCACUCCUCUUAUCAACUGUUAAUAAUCAUAAUUAAUUAAUUAAUUAACUAUUAAUCUAUUUAUAUAUUAAAAUUAUAAAUAAAAAAAUACAUAAAAAAAAAAAUAUAUACAUAUUUGCCACACUUGACAUCCGAGUAUAUGACAAUGAAAUCUCCUUCUUGAAGUCCAUUUGUUCUCACAAAAUCUCCUGAAAUUAAUUAACAAAAUCAAAAGAAGGUUAUUACUAUAGACUCAGAAUUUAAAAGAAAAUAUCUAAAAAUUAAAUAUCCACCGAACCUGUGUUUUCUAGGAGGUACAUCCUGCUUUUGUUGUUGGGCCAGAAUCUGAAACUCCAUGUAGAAAAAUAAAAAUAAAAAUAAGAAAGUGCAGAGAAUUAAUUUUGUAAGAAUGGAAAUGGAAAAAUCAAGAAAAUCAAGAAUCAUUUAGAAUACAAAAAUACCUAUAACGCAUGUUCCAAACCCUAGAAGUCCCUAUGUCUUCCAUUGCAAUAGAAAUCCCAUCUCUUGCCUCCAAUUCUGGUAAAUGAGUUUCUGCUUCUUUCUACAAUAUUUUUUUAGAAAAAUAAAUAAAAAUUCAAAGAAAUAAUCAGCACACACACAAAAAACAAGUACCUUCGGCAACACUAUCCUCCCAAGAUUACCCACAUCACUCUGCUUCAGCACCUUUUGAAGGAGAAACCUCAGGUUCUUCUCUGGUUUCCAACCCUGAAGAAACCAAAAUGAGCAUACAUAUACAAAGACAAAAUUAUCUUUAAUUGUAAUUAUUCACCAUCUUAAUCAUAAAUGCAUAAUUACUGAGAUAAUCUCAGCAAUAAAGGCAAUCUAACAAAUCCAAAGUAGUGAACCCACCUGUCGCCUAUCUGAUGCCACUUGCCGUUGAUGAUUCUGAUGUGAUUGCAUGGCCGGUCGAUCCACUGUAUGAACCGGCGGUGCAUCCAUAGGUAGAACAGGCGUGGUUGAAACAGCAACACCGCCGACAGCUGCAGGCCAGUAAACCCAAUUACCGGGAUUAGGCGGCUGAGCUGCUGGUGUUAUAUUAUCACUUCCAAGCCUUCCAUGGUGAUCUAUUACUGUAUUCUGAUUUUGAUUCUGGUUUUGUUGGUUAUUGUUUUGGUGAUUGUGAUUUCUAUGAUGUGACAUAAACCUUCUUUGUCUAGCCAUUCUCUUCUUUCUUGCUUCUUUGGUAGCUGAGGAACCCAAUCUCACCAACGUAUCACCGACUUGGGUAGGGAGAUACUGACAUGGGUAUUGAUUUCCAUAUCCGCUAAAUACAUUCGGGUGCGUUGGUACCGGCUGGAGAUUAUUAUCUGGAAAUGGUGAGUAAUGAGAAGCUAAAGCAAAUUGUGAUGCGGACCAAGAUUGAGCAGAAUCAAGCAUUUGAUAAUCUGAGGAUGAUGGCGGUUGCGGUGGUUGUGGUGGAGGAUAAGAUUGGCCAGCCAUGUUAGAAGCUCCAUUAACAAACGGGUCAGCCAUGUACCCAACCAUAGGUUGAAAACCCUGCAUGCCUGUGGCUGCCGGGUCGGAAAUAUAAGGUGGAGGUGCAAUCCAAGGUGAUUGAGAGAAACAAGGAUUUGAUUGAUCUGGCUGAAUAGAAUUACUACAAUUCAGAUUAGGGUUAGGGUUUUGCAGAGGGUCUUGAGAUGAUUCUUUCAUCCUCCUUUUUUGAAGAUGAUUAGUUUGAACCCAUUCAAGAAUCAACUUCAACAAUUGUUUCAUAGCUGCUUUACCACCACCCAAACGCUUAGCAGCACACUCUAUAGUAGCUUUCUUGAUUUUGACUUUUCUUAAGUCUUCUGCAGAAACAGUCUCUUUAUUGCUCUUUAACCACUCUAAAAACACCAUUGCUAGAUCAUCUGAAGCUCCUUCCCCUGAUUCUUGUUUUUGAGUCACUUCACUUUUUGUUUCCAUUGCUAACUCUUCAUUUCUCUGUUGCACCUGCAGUUCCUGUUGCAGAUUCUGCUCUGUAUUGAACUCUUCCAAGAAAUUUUCAUCAGCUUGAAAUAUCGAAGAAGGAUCCAAAAAAUCAUUGUUUUCGAUCAGAUCCAUGUAACCGAAAUUAUCCAUCAUGCUCAUGCAACCAACACCAACAUCUUGAUCAGGUGGCUGUAAGAUCUCCAUUGAAGCAGUAGAAGAUAAGGCAGCUGCGGUUGGUUCCAAGGGAUCAUAUUGACCCUGAUGAUUAUGAUAAUGAUGAUGCUGGUUAUGAUCAUGAAUUUUUUUCUCCACAUCUUCUUCUGCGUCUGACUUCAAAACUGCCCAGGAAGCGGCGGAUGACGAAGAAGAAGCUGAAGAAGAAGAUGAUGAUGAAGCCAUGGCCUUGACCGGUGCAGGAGUUGACGAAGAUGAAGAAGAUGAUGACAUGCAAGGGAAAUCUGGUAAAGCAGGGUAAUCAUCAUAAAAGAUCGAAGAAUUAUUCACAUCUAACAGAUCUUCUUGUUCUCUUUCUAACCAGAUUUCUCUUUCUUCCUCCAUAGCAUCAACAGUCGUACCAAAACCAGUUGUAGGGUUUGUUACAUUUUCAUGAUCUUCAACAUGCAAAUGUAAACCCUUCAUUUUUUUGCUUAAUUUUUUUUUUUUUUUUAAGAAAAAGCCCAAAAAUAGUAAUAAAUAAAAAAAAAUUGCAACUUGGAGAAACCUUUUGAGUUCUGUUGUUCGCAGAUAGUUUCAGAAAGAGAGAGAGAGAGAGAGAGAGAGAGAGAAGAUAAUAAAGAGAGAGAAGAAGGGAAGGAUAGGGGAUUCCUGUGUACGGAUAAGUGCAAAGAGAAAGAUUGUAUCCGAUUAAGGAAGCAGAAGAGAGAAAGGGCCCAUUUGUAAAUGUCAAUUACUCAACAAAAACGCAACAUAAACCAUCUGGGCAUCUUCCUUUCUAUCUAAACUCACUUACUGUAUCAUCUAUCAAUAUCACCGCCUCCACCAACAAUGGAUAACAUAAACAAAUACCCUCCUUAUAAUUAUAAUAAUAUAAAUAACAAUUAAGAAAGCGACGCCUCUACUCUUAAUGCUGUUUUUAACAAACACAGACUACGCAUAAUAUUAAAACCCUAAAAUUGUACAGAAAACCAUACUCAGCUAGCCAGCAACAAUGGCGAUCGAGUUCAACCAAUCAAAGAUAGAUCAACUUAAAGAGUGAAAAGGGUAAGCAAGAUGAGCAAAUAUGGAGAAGCCCACAUGCUCAAAUAAACCCCCCAUGUGUGUUCUGGUUUGUUCCAUGGAUGUCUAAUUGCCAUUUUCUAACCUUCCUUUUAACUUUUCUUCAAUAAAGUUCAAAUCAGUAUUUUGGGCGUUUAUGCAGAAUUCAAUUAACUAAGAGAGAUGGGUAGUUUUAGAGAUAGAAAGAGAAGAAAAAACAACAAAAACAAAAGAAAAACUUCCCCGUGCCGCUGGUUUUUCAGUCCUAUUCCGGAUUUUGUGCCAUCCGCCAAACGUUCUCUCCUUAAUGGAGCAACCGAGCGGUGCCUCAGCCUUUUCUUUCUUUUAACUUUAAUGUCUAUGUCAAUGUGAACUUAAAAUACUGCAAUGAUAUUUACAGUUACUUCCAAUUUCAAUUUUGUCCAUUUGCUGCUAUCUAAGCAAAGCAUACAUCCAACCAAAACUUGAUUAAUUAAUUCAAGAAAAUUGAGAUAUAUAUUAGAAUUGAGUCAACUUUGUGGGGAAUUCAGCAAUUUCGCUUUUUUAAGCUAUGGAUAUGUAUCAUCUAUCUAAAGAUUGUAUUAUUAUUGAAACAUUAUCGAUUCUCUGGAUGUUUAUGUUCUUCUGAUAUGUACUGAAACUUGUUAGAGUCACUUUAUAUCAUCCAUAUCAAGUUGAUGAAAAUCUAAACUAAAGCAUUAUAUUUCAUAGUUUGUGAAUCAAUCAAUCAAAAACAUAUAUAUAUCUCGUGUUGUUUAUCCGUUUAUUACAAAAACAAACAAUCUAUUUACUGAUAGUUUGAAAUUGAAAUCAAAUUACAUCCUUUAAUUUAUGAUAAAGCGAUUGAAGGAACUAGUUAAAAAUUUGAAAGGUAUUAACCUAUGUCUUGUUAUGAUCAAAUGAUUAAAGGAAUUGUCUAAAACAUUAGAUGAAAACUAAUAUUGUUUAUGUAUUUUAUUUGCACUUGAGAAUCAGAAUAGAUAUAGAGAUAUACAUGACAUGCAAAAGCGAUACUUGAUUAUCCUUUUCUUUAUUGUUUUUUGUGAUUCUUGAAUGCAAAAAUUUUAAUUUUUAUGUCAGGGUUAAUUAAAGUUUUUAUUUUUAUUUUACAGCAUAAUGCUAAUAUUAUUAAUUUACUAUGAUAACAAGAACAAUGUAUACAAAUAGUUAAAAGUUCAACUAUCCUACAAACUUUUAACUAUUUUUAUAAAUAUGGCAAAUUCUUUUAAUCGAAUUGAUAUCAUAAAAUUUUGAUUUCUUAACAAUUGAGGUUUGUUACUCUGCCGUUUAAUUCAAAUGACGUGAUUAUUAAAUUCAGUAUGUGGGCCUAUUUCAGACACGUCAGUCAGAGAGAGUAGAUGCUUAUAGAGCAUAGCUUUUCAAUUCUCGAAUAUUGUGGCUGACUGUGGUCUAGUUGAUCUAGGAAUGUCUGGGUACCCUUUUACUUGGGCUCAUGGUAGAGGUCAACACCGGGUAGAGAAAAGAUUAGACAGAGCUUUGGGAAACAUCACUUGGCAGAAUCAUUUUCCUAAUUAUCAAGUCCAGAACUUAGUCUCAAGUAAGUCUGAUCACUCUCCUCUUUUUAUUCUCACUUCUCCCAGAAUUGAAAACCAGCGACAUCAACGUUUUCAGUUUGAGAAUAUUUGGCUAGAGGAAUCUGAUGUAGACGCUGUGGUAAGAGAGAGUUGGACUAGUCAUGAGGGUGUUGAUGUAACGGGGAAGAUAAAAGUUUGUGGAGAACGCUUACAGAGCUGUGGUAGGAGCUUAAAGCUUCGGUUUAGGCAUAAUGCAAAGAAGUUGACAGUGCAGCUUGAAAAUCUUCGAAUCAGGGGUAAUAUUGAACAGUUUGAAGAUGUACAGCGUAUGCUUGAUGAUGUUCUGCACCGUGAAGAGGUUUUCUGGUCUCAAAGAGCGAAAUCUCAUUGGUUAAAAUCGGGGGAUAUGAACUCUAGGUAUUUCCAUGCAACUGCUAAGAAACGGAAAAAGUUGAAGCAGAUUUUUCGGUUAAAGGAUGCUAAUGGCGAGUGGAUCAGUGACAACAAUUUGCUGAAAGGUAUGGUGAGUGCUUAUUUUGUUAAUCUAUUUGAGGCCGGGGAUGUUGACUUAAGUCCUGUUGUGGGUUUAUUCUCUCCUUUCGUUUCGGAUAAUGACAACUCUCGUUUACUUGGAGAUAUUUCGGUGGAUGAGGUACAAUUGGCUGCGAAAUAAAUGCAUGCAGAUAAAAAGCCCAGGGAUGGAUGGUCUAAAUCCUAGAUUCUACCACAGGUUUUGGGAUGUUAUGGGUCACGAUGUUGUCAAAAGUUGCCGAGACUGGUUCAAUAUAGGCAUUUUUCCUAAUAAUGUGAAUGAUACCUUAAUUGUGUUGAUUCCGAAAGUAGAGGACCCAGAGGCAGUGACGGAUUUUCGACCUAUUUCACUUUGUAAUGUAGUUUACAAAGUGUUUGCUAAGGUUCUGGCGAACAGACUGAAGACCAUUCUGCCUAAUCUUAUUUCAAUAUCUCAGUCGGCUUUUGUCCCGGGUCGGUUGAUCUCAGAUAAUGUGUUAGUUGCUUUUGAGUUAAUCCACUCUAUGCAAACAAGAAUGAAAGGUCGACAAGGAGUCUCUGCAUUGAAAGUUGAUAUCUCAAAAGCCUAUGACAGAGUUAAUUGGUGUUACCUACGGGCUGUUAUGCAGGGGUUGGGUUUUAGCCAGCGUUGGGUUGACUUGAUCAUGCUGUGUGUUUCCUCUGUUAAAUACUGGGUGGGAGUGAAUGGGGAUGAGGUUGGCCCCAUUAUUCCAGAACGGGGGUUGAGACAAGGUUGUCCAUUAUCACCCUAUUUAUUUAUUCUCUGUGCUGAAGGACUGUCAAAGCUAUUUAGUCAGUCUGAACGUGACGGUCGCCUCAAAGGCUGUAGAGUCUCGAGAGCUGCUCCUCAGUUAUCUCACUUGCUAUUUGCGGAUGAUAGUCUGUUCUUUUUUGAGGCAUCAUGGACUCAAGCUCUAGAGAUUAAAAAUAUUCUAGUUACUUAUGAAGCAGCUUCAGGUCAAACGGUUAAUUGGCAAAAAUCUGGUAUUUUUUUCAGCUCUAACACUUCUAAGCUGGAUAAGACUGCUGUUCAAGGGGUAUUUGGUGUGAUUGCUCCUUUAAACCACGGAAGGUAUCUCGGUUUGCCAUCAUUAAUUGGUAGGGUAAGGAGACGGAUUUUUUCUUUCUUGAAGGAUCGAGUGAGGAAGUUGGUCAGGGGUUGGAAUCAGAAACUCCUCUCCAAAGGGGGUAAAGAGGUUCUAUUAAAGGCUGUAUCACAAGCUAUUCCCUCAUUCUGUAUGAGUUCUUUUCUUAUACCGGUAUCUAUUUUAACGGAGCUUCAGCGGCUCAUGAAUUCCUAUUGGUGGGGAGGAAAGAUGAGAUGGUUGAGUUGGGAAAGGAUGUGUGUAGCGAAGGAAGACGGAGGUUUGGGUUUUAGACAUUUGCGAAGUUUCAAUCUGGCCUUGUUAGGAAAGCACUGCUGGAGGCUUUUACAUAAUACAAACUCUCUCUUUUAUAGCUCUUUCAAAUCUAAAUAUUUCCCUAGUGGGAAUUUUCUUGGUGCAGGCGUUGGACGUAAUCCAAGCUUUGUAUGGAGAGGGAUUUGUGUAGCCAAGGAUGCUAUAUGUUCAGGUUUUCGGUGGAGAAUCGGAGAUGGUCAGUCAGUAAAUGUCUGGACCGAACCGUGGCUAUUACAGGAUAAUCAGUUUCGGGUUCACUUGCCUAUUAUUUCUGGUUUUGAGCAUAUACGGGUUUCUGAUCUUAUUUUGGCACACGAGGCACGUGCUUGGAAUUUGCCACUGAUACAUGGUCUUUUCGAUCCUUCAAUUGCUGAAAUUAUUACUUCUAUUCCUUUAGUUACAAAUGUUCAUGACGACAUCCUUAUAUGGCAUUGGACAGACUCUGGGAUAUACUCUGUGAAAUCUGGAUACAGAUUAGUAGCGUCACAAUAUGUGGAUCCUGAAGAUGUUUGGCGGUCGAGUUUUUGGAAAAUUCUUUGGUCACUGAAAAUUCCGCCAAAAGGGAGGCAUUUUCUCUGGAGGUGCUGUCGAGACAUUCUGCCAGUUAAAGCAAAUUUGGCAAGAAGGGGACUGGAGCUUGAUACAGGAUGCGAUUACUGUGGUAAUACUGAAACGCUAGUUCAUGCUCUUGUUGAAUGUCCACGAGUGAGCUUUUGUUGGCAAUUUUUUGUUAUUCAGCUUACUACUUGGAAUUUUCCAACUUUCUUACAACUGGUGGAACAUUUACACAAGGUGUGGGAAAACAAAUUUUUUGAAAGUUUUGUUAUGGGACUUUGGAGUGUUUGGUCAAGCCGUAAUGAGCUGAAAUGGAAUCAAGUGGAAGAAGGACCUUAUCAUGUGGUUACUCGAGCCAGAAGUAUGCUCGCAUCUUGGAAGAAAGCCCAGCUGAAGUCGUCAGGUUCAAGUACAGGUACAGAUGCUCCUGUAGGUAGUCGAUGGUUUCCACCACCUGUUGGUACUAUUAAACUAAAUUUCGAUGCCACUCUUCUCCCUUCUAUUGGCCAUGGAGUCGUUGGUGCUGUAAUUUCAAAUUGCAACAGCGAGUUUGUAUCAGCAGCAAUGUCCUCACUGCAAGGUUGUUCUUCUCCAGCAGUAGCAGAAGCUCAGGCGCUAAGAACAGUGUUGUCUUGGUUGCUAUCGAGCUACCCCAGCCUGAAGAUUCAGAUUGAGACCGAUUGUCUGCAAGUUUACUGUGCUAUGAGGAAUUCUGUCCAAGAUUGGACUGAGUUUGGAGUAAUUAUUUCUGAAUGUAAGCUAUUAUUAGUCCAAUUGUCAAAUAUCACAUUGGCUUGGAUUAGAAGACAAGCAAAUGAUAUAGCUCAUAUAUUGGCUAAAUCAGUUCCUCAUGGAGCUUGUUUUCGAACUUGGGAUAUUGUUCCCGCUUGUAUUGCUCAUUUUUUCUCUUAAUAAAUAAAUGACCAAUAUUAAAUGUCAAAAAAAAAAAAAAAAGCUUUUCCUUAAUCAUUUUAACAAGUAUGGCUGUGUUUUUUAUGCUGCUUUUAUAUGCUAAUUGCUAUUUUUUUACGGUGUCUUAUAAUAUAAUUUUGAAUUAGUUUUAAAAGUUUUUACGGUGUCCCAUAAUAUAACUUUUCAACUAGCUUUAGAGUUUAAGGUAGUCUUUUGUGAAAAGUUAAUUCAUAUAAUGUUUAGCUUGUAAUAUUUAAUUAAAAGCUACUAAAAUAGCUAACAGCUAAAUGCUAUUAAAACAGUUAACAACGCCCAAAAUAAUUAAUUUUGCCAAACAAAUCCAAGCACAUUCAUGAAUUCUAGAUAGUAGAUGAAUGGAGGCUACAAUUGUUAAUAUAUAAAUAUAUAUAUGAGAUAAAAUUAAAAGAAUUUAUUAAAAUUAUAAAAAUGGUCAAAAUUGAGAUUUUAACCCUUUAUUAUAAAAGUUUUAAUCAAUUUAAUUAUAAUUAGUAUCAACUGAAAAAAUUAUUUGGUUUAUUAAUUUCUAUUAUAUAUAAAAUAUAAAGCAAAGUAUAUAUAAAAGAGAGGAUUUGUAUUCUAAUUAAUCUAUAAUUAGAAAUUUCGUCUAUCUCAAUUCUUUUAAUCUGAUUGGAAUCAAUAAAAAUUUGAGAAAAUAAAUAGUUAUAUGGCCUAAUAAUGCAAUUUGUGACUUGUUACAAUCAUAAUAUAUUUAAUUUUUUGAUAAACAUAUAUUUUAAAAUAAAACUUAUACUAUACGAUUGAAAUUAGGAAAAAAAAAAUGAAUUACAACAUUCAAAAUUCAAGGUAUUUCACAUCUCAAAGUAUUAAUUCCAACCUAUAUUUAAAUAGGGUGUAAUUAUAAUAAUAUUAAGAGCUUUGCUAAAUGUCACAAGUUGUUAACACAAUUAUGCGCAUUUACAAGUACAUCUUUCGUGCAGCAUCAACAAUAUCUAAACUGCUGCUAAAAUAUUUUUAAGGGUAUUACAGUAUUUUCAUUUAUGUUAGAUAUGUCACAAGUUGUGCUAAAAAUACUUUCCGUAAUAUUAAUAGGAUGUAAUUAUAAAAUUUAAAUUUCAAAAUACUUUUACACCUUAAAACAAUUAACCAAUUUUUGAAUCUUUCUUCUAAUUUAUCCUAAAAAAUUUUAACUACUACAAUACUAUAGUUAUCAAAGAGAAACGACAUAUUGAUUUCUAUACACAAUUACCAACAUUACAAGUAUUUUUCCAUCUGUGUUGCUAUAGCGACAAAGUACUAAACUUAGGUAAGUUAGAAAUUUAGAAUAUGUAAUUAAAAGAAACUAUUUACCAUUCAAAACAAAAGGCAACUAUAAACUAAAUAGGGUAAUUCAGUGCCAAAGAGCAUUAAUAGGAUUGAUCAUUAUGGUUCAGGUCAUGGAUUUAAUUCUCUAUAAUACAAACUCCUCCUUAUAGUUUAGGUCAUGGAUUCAAUUCUCCGUAACGCAAACUCUUCCGAAUCAGCUAUUUUGCCUCCAAAAACGAACAAACACAGUUCUAAAUAUCUUGUGCAAAUAUAUAUAUAUAUAUAUAUAUAUAUAUAUAUAUAUAUAUAUAUAUAUAUAAAGGUACUAUGAAUUAUUAUUGCGGCAAUUUUUCGCUUAAUGAGGCUAGACUGAUAAAGUUUAAAUUCUUUUACAAAUUUCAAUAACUUUAUAGUUGUCAAAAGGCGAAAAAUAUAAAUUAAUUAAUUAUUUUAGGGUGUCAACUGUCAAGUAUUAAUCAAAUUUUUACAUUUUAUAGAUGCAAUCUAUUUCAAUUAUAUAGUGCAAUUAGUCUAAAGUUAUUAUUUAUUGAAAAAAUUUUGUGAUAAAUUACAAAUUUUAGGGUAUUGUUAUGUUCUUUUUAGUUAUCCGAUAAAGUGUAAAAUGUAGUAAAAGAUUAAUUUGAAUUGAUAUCAAGUAAUAAGUCUAUAACAAGAGGGAGGGAUACAUAAAAUUUAAAUUCAAUAAAUCUAGUUAGGUAAGAAAAUAUGUUAAAUUAAUAUAUUUGAAUUUAUCUAUAUUCAUGAUAUAUGAAUUUACUUAUAUAUUAAAUUAAUUAAAAAUACAAUUUUAAUUGUAAUUAGAAUAUUUCUGACUUUUAUUGGGAGAAAAAGAAUAUAAUAGAAACACUAUUUUGGAAAAUCCUUUAUAAGGACCGACUCCAUAUAAGUGGAGCACAACGAGACGCGCAUAUAAUUUAAUUUUUAAUUAAAUAAAGCAAAAUUGCGGAAGGGAAGGAUCAGAUACAGGCGGUAGUUCUCUACCACUAACCACAUUCUCACUCUACAUUUAGACAAAAUUGUGGGACCCAAGAGACUGACAACGUUACAAUUUAGGUUUCACAAAUAAGCUUUGUCCGGAUUCGUGGGUUAAGCGGCGGAUGCUCCAUUCUACUCUCUGACGUAACCCUUCUUAAUCUGCCAAUAACCGCGCUCUUCUAUUUCAACUCCCGUCUUUAUCCGCUGCCUUCUUUUAACAUUCACACUGCUCAACAAGCAACGCAUCUGACAGACUGCUUGUCUCCUCCCACGUGUACUCGUCCCUCAUCCUGGCGAGAUUCUAUUGGUAGUUACGGUUUUCUGGAUUCCGUACAUUAUACAACAGGUUUUUGUAGGAUUUUCUUAGAUAGUGCGUCUUCACAUGGCUCUGGCCCUUCACUGACUUUUAUCUGCAAUCAGAUUUUGCCACGUCUGCUAUCCUUAUCUCAAUUCGCGUUCUGAUCGUCAUUAAUUUUCUUUUAAAAGGAAAAAAACCAUAAUAAUUCCUUUUCUAUUUUCUUUUUUUUGACCGUUUGGUGAGGUCGUGGCCACACCAGGCUGGAUACAGCCUAUAGAAAAUAAGCCUGCAAGAUUAAAUGGCAUUUUAUUUUCCUAAAGAUAAGCAAAGAAUUCGAAAUUUUUAAUUAUGUAAUUCAUUUACGAUUUUGAAUUUUCUUUCUAUUUGCACAAUUUGGUGCAUUAUAGAAGGACGUGGCAUUAAUUCCACACACUUGUAUAAAAAAAAUAUUUGAAAAGUAAAUGAUAUAUUAUUAAAAAGUUGUAAUAAAUAUAUUUAUAUUUUUAGAGAUUCAUUGAGCAGAGAGUAUGGCGGAAUGGUUAAAUAGUUGGUAGAAUAGAAAGAGAGAGAGAGAGAGAGGUAAUCGUCAGCUUUGCUGACUCGAAACUAAAGCCCACAUGACGAGUGUGAUUGUGUGCUUUCCUGAUGUCAGGCUCAGUUCUCCACUCCGCCUUAUUAUUGGUCAAAAAGAAAUACUCUCCUUCCACCAUUUAUUUUCAUUUGAUAACUUCAAUACUUUAAUUAAUUAAAUUUUAAAAAAUUGUCCUGCCACCACCAAUAAUGGUGUCUUGACUUUGGACUGGUGACUAAACUAGGGAGGAGACCACACAAUUCCAUGUCUCCUAUAAUAUUGGGCCUGAAAUGGGACGGACCAUACCAUUUGGGCUUGACAGAAUAGCCCAGCUUGAUAUAUACAAAUCUAGCAAGUACACUACUUUCCAUAGCUUCUUUAAGCACAUUUCCUUCUUCUGGAAUCCCCAAAAAAACCACACCAAGCAACCAUCGAAACAAAUCGCAAGAGUAUUUUAACAAUGGAUCAACUGAUCUUCCUCGUUUAUCUCUAACAUCAACAGACCUUAAUUACCGUGAAACUAGCUAUUCACAACUACAUUACUUUCUCCGAAUUUCACGUUUAAAUACGCUGCGUUUUGAGAGAAGAAAGAAGGAAUUUGGAUGGUUGAUAACUUGACAUGAAGAGGAGAGUAAAAAACGGGUGAGCAAACUCUCUGACAAAGCAUUUAAACUCAGCUGCACACUACCCCUUAGACAGCCAAUUGUACAUACAGUACAGCAACCUCUCAUGUGCCAGUAAUAAUAUAAGUUAAUAAGCAAGGAAGCAAGCUGUCAUUCUUAUGUAGCACAUGCCAAACAGUCAAACAUAUUAAGUUGGUUGGACAGCUUAAGGUCGAUGUGAGAGAUCUACCAUUUUUCUUUUUACCUUGCUUUAAAUUAUAUACUACUAUUAUUCAAUUAACAUUGAUUUUGAUAAUCACAAAUUUAUGCCAGUUGCCCUAAUGUUUAGCGAUCUCCCAUUUUUCUAAUUUUACCCUUUUAACAUUUUCAACUUUUAUUUUUGCAGAUUAGACACUCAACUUGAUUAUAUAAUUACAUCUAUUAAAUAAUUUAAUUAGUAAAAUUAGACUAAUUGAACACCUACUUGAGUAAAACAACUCGCUGAACUGAGUUGAAAACUGAACCAAUAUUGUUCAAUUUAUUAAUUAUUGGUCCCCUGCUCGUUAGACACUUGAAAAUUUUAAAUGAUUAUUUCGAAAUUUAUAUUAAUCAUACAUAAAAUUAAUAUUUGCAUGUCAAAACUUAAAACCCAAAAAAAUUAUUAUUAGCGGUGCACAAAAGUGUACAAUAUUACCGAAAUUCAUAAUUUAGAAACACAAUAUGCCUCUUAAAGUUGAAAUUGAUGCAAAGUUAAAAUAAUGAAGUUUAGAAGUAAAUUAUGUGUUAUGCCACAAACUGACACAUAUGUUUAUAAACUUACGGGUAUUUUCAACUUUUUAUAUUAACCUAUUUAUAUCCUUCAACUGAGAAAAUUGCAGCUAUUGAUACCUCCAUUUAUAAAAUUACAUGCAUUUUACAUGUUUUUCAAUUAUCAAAUAUAAGUUCAUAAGUGCAAAACUUCGUGCAUUUUUUAACAGAAAUUAUUGAAUAGUAUUUUCUGCACUUUUUUAAUCUCCAAGAAGUAUAAUUUGAUAAGUGAAAAUAUUCUGUAAGUGUAAUUUUAAAACUUAAUUCAUAUAAUUUUAUAAGCUGAUAGAUUUGCAAGGUAACAUAUAAAUUAGAGUCCACAGUAGAAUUUUUUUUCCAAAGUUGACGUUUCGAUUUAAGCAUUUGGCCUUUUUAUCUUGUUAUAAUUACUUUCGAUAGAGGUCAUGUGUUUAUCAUAAAUUCUCGAGACAAUAUAGAGCUACCUCCAUUCUUGCAGAAGCGAACUACCUUAUGGUUUCAUUCAUUGCAUUUAAUACAAAAACUAUUCCUGCAUCUUUUAUCAUGCCUAUAAAAGGACCCCCUGAUCAAAUUUUCAGACAACUACCACUGGUCUUGCAACAAACAGAGAUGGCAGCAACGGCAAGGCAGUUUUCUUGCGUGCUUUUUCUUGUUCUUGCAAUUGCUCAUGCAAGUGCAAGAAAUACGCCUAAAGAAACUGCAGGUCUCGAUGAUCAAAAGAAUGUGGUUGUAUUUGGCGGUUUAGGUGGCUUCGCUGGUGUUGGUGGUGGUAUUGGAGGUGGUAUUGGUGGUGGUCUCGGUGGUGGUAUUGGAGGUGGGCUGCCUGAUCUCGGUGGCACAGGCGGUGGGAUUGGUGGAUUAGGUGGUUUGGGAGGAGAUACAGGGAGCGGUGGAGGUCUUGGUGGUGCUAUUGGUGGUGGUGGGAUUGGCGGUGGUCAAGGUGGUUGUGCUGAUGGUGGUGCUGGCUCUAUCCUUAACCCUUGAUUCCAUUUCAUGGGAUUUUUUAUGUUUAGUGUUUCUGUUGCAUGCAGAUGCAGUUAGUACAUGUGUUUAGUUACUUUUCUGUUUUAUUCACUGUUGAUUUUUUUUUCCCUUUUCCUUUUUUUAGUAUUGUUCGCUGUUUUAUUGUUUUGGAAUUUUAUUAGUAAUAUUUGCCAUUUCUUUACUAAAAUAAUUAUCAAAUUACUUUCACAGUUUGUUCUUAAUUAAUUGUGGAUCAUAAAUAAUUUCAAUUUUACAACAAUGUCUUAACUAACAUAAUAAACAAUCUUAAUCUCGUAAGAGUGAAAAUAUAAAUUUAAUAUAGAGCAGCAGAAUUCUAAUAAAGACAAAACUCUUAUGCGCUAUGCUCAAAAGAGAGUUUAUUCACGCAAAAAAUGGUGAAACAACGGCUCCUAUAUAGUUUUACAACUAAAAUGAUUUAAUUUGAUAGUCAAUUCUGAUUAAAGGAUACGGGAUCUUUGCCAUUCCAUAUCACUCUUCAGAGGUAAAUGAUAUGGUUCUUGAAUUGUCUAAUUUUAGCAAGUUCAUUGGAACUACUAGUUAAUUAACAGUCAAUUCUGAUUAGAGAAUUUUAGAGACGUAUUAAUAUUAAGAUAUGUUUUCAAACGGUUUAAUUAAUGGAAAUAUAUUGUAUAUGUUUUCAAGUAAUUUUUACUCCAAAGAUUAAAGGAUCCAAAAUUUUAAAAUCAUAACUUUUAGAAAUAUUUAUUUAAAUAUUACUCAUAACCGGAUGUGAAUUGUUCUAUAUAUAUUAUUAAUUUGUUGUUGAGCUAAAAUGCCCAAUAUUUUAUUAGUUGCAAGAAGGACCGGCAACCCUCUAAUACUUCAAGAAUAAAAAUUUCAAAUACAUCAAAAAUGAAAAUAGUGAAAUAAAAAACAUAAUGAUGUGAUUUUAAAAUAAUAUCUAUUGAUAUAAAAAUAAUUGUUUUAACAUUAGAAUGCAUAUAUUAUUAUUGAUAUAUUUCUGAUAAAUGUAAUUUGAAUUUAAUGGAUGAUACGAUCAUUUUUAUAUUAUAGUAAACCGAGGAGAAGAUCCAUCUCCUACCUUUCCUUUCCUUCCAAUAAUAUACAUAUCAGAAAUGAAUCAGAUUCGUACAUUAAUUAUUAAUACAUUGGCUUGGCUUCCAACUACUUGUCAUUGUUCAAUGCCUGUGAAAUUUAAAACUUCUCUGCUGCUUUCAGACUUUCAGUUGGCAUGUCUUCAUCAUUUUCUUUUUUUUUUUUUCAAAAAAAAAAAUUUUAUUAUUAAAUUUUUUUAUAUAUUAAUUAAAAGUUCUUUGAGCAAGAGCCUAAGAUCGAGGUGUCUCUCAAAAUUUGAAAAUUUUCUAAAAUAUAGUACUAAAAAUAACAAAUAACAGGCUUAGCUUAAUGAAAUGUGAUACCUAUAAUAUAUAAAAUAAAAAAAAAACCAAAUAACAUUUUUUUGGGAAAAAAAAAAGGAAAUUCGAAGGAUACAUAUUAAGGGUUAAAUAAAAAGAUUGGUAAUAAUAAAGUAAUUAGGUUAAUAGACUUUCUUGCUGUAGCUUAUUAUGAAAAAAAAUAAUUGAUAUAAUUGAAUUUUUAAUUUUUUUUUUAAUUCAUUGGAGGUUUUUAUAGGCCGAAAUAAUAUUGCAGGUUACAAAAAGGGGUAGCCCUUUCCUUGACUCACCAAAUUGGUGAAAACAACUAUAGUCGAGAGAAUUCGAACUCGAAAUCAAUCAAAUCACCACCUGAUCGGCACAAUUGAACUUUUAAUUGAAAUAUAUAAUUAACUUGAUUUGAUAUUAUAUGAAGUGUUAUUGCAUGAUAUUAUUAAUUUUUAGAAUCUUAAUUAUUGAAUAUUUAAAUUUGUAGUAUGAGAAAUUAUCAUAUUCACAUAUAUAUUUUAUCUUCCAUUUCUUUGUCUGUGUUACUUGUCGCAGCAGGAAGCACCAAUGCAUGGCUCACAAUCUGCCACUAAUUUUCCCUCUGCUAAAUUAUAAAUGCCAUUAAUUCUGGCUGUUGAUCUCCCCGUAACAUGUACUAAAGAAAAAAAAAAAAAAAAAACUCACUUUACAAGAAAAAAAGGAUUAAUCAUGGAUAUACCAUUUACUUGUAUUUAACUCCAUUUACUGCUUUCAACCAUUCCAUACUGCUUCAUUUGCCGCUCCUUUUGCCUUUAAAAAGGGCUUCACAAAAACACUUUGAGAUAUCCCUAGAGAAACAGAGGAGAGAGACAGAGAAAGAUGGCUAGGUGGUGUCUUAGUGUUAUGGUUGUGCUUGCUUUAGUAGCUGUGCAAACUAGUGCUAGAAACGUUCCUAAAGUUGAAAAUAUGGCUACUACCAAAACUAAUGUGCCUAGUAAUAAUGCUGGUCUAAAUGACCAAAAGAACUUCCUCACCUACGGUGGUGUUGGUGGCUACAGUGGUCUUGGUGGUAAUGGUCUUCCAUUCGGCGGGGUUGGAGGACUUGGUGGAGUCACUGGCCUAGGUGGCACUGCCGGCAUUGGUGGGUUUGGUGGAGUUGGUGGUGGAAGUGGUCUUGGUGGCCUUGGUGGCUUGGGUGGUGGUGUUGGUGGUUUGGGUGGCGUUGGCGGUGGCGGUGGCGUUGGCGGCGGUGUUGGCGGUGGCGUUGGCGGAGGCGUUGGCAGUGGAACUGGCGUUCUUCCUUAUCCAUGAAAAUAUUGAUCUCAUUUCUGGUUUAUAGCCAGGGUUUAUGAAGAACUCUAUUUUUAUGCAUGGUUAUUAAGUUGGUUGUGUUUGAGGGUUUAUGUAAUGGUUUAAUUUUAAUUACUUUAUGUUUUGCUUGUUUAUUAGGGUUAGUUGGGUGUGUCUCUUUACUUUGAGUUCGAGAUUUUCAUUGUCAUGUUUAUGUUUGAGUGGAUCAUAGUUACAGAAACUUGAGUUUAAUUAAUGAGUUCAUGUUUAUUAUAUUGUGUUCGUGUUUAAUUUUUUUUGGUUCAGCUAAUUUUCAUUUUAAGAUACAUUUUGAUAUGAUUAAAAACAAC
rnacentral:lncRNA from 1 species